UACGUAGGGUGCAAGCGUUAAUCGGAAUUACUGGGCGUAAAGCGUGCGUAGGCGGCUUUGCAAGACAGAUGUGAAAUCCCCGGGCUCAACCUGGGAACUGCAUUUGUGACUGCAAGGCUAGAGUACGGCAGAGGGGGAUGGAAUUCCGCGUGUAGCAGUGAAAUGCGUAGAUAUGCGGAGGAACACCGAUGGCGAAGGCAAUCCCCUGGGCCUGUACUGACGCUCAUGCACGAAAGCGUGGGGAGCAAACAGG
rnacentral:rRNA from 1 species